rnacentral:rRNA from 1 species
CGCACGGUGAGUAACACGUAUCCAACCUGCCGUCUACUCUUGGACAGCCUUCUGAAAGGAAGAUUAAUACAAGAUGGCAUCAUGAGUCCGCAUGUUCACAUGAUUAAAGGUAUUCCGGUAGACGAUGGGGAUGCGUUCCAUUAGAUAGUAGGCGGGGUAACGGCCCACCUAGUCUUCGAUGGAUAGGGGUUCUGAGAGGAAGGUCCCCCACAUUGGAACUGAGACACGGUCCAA